rnacentral:rRNA from 1 species
GUCCACACGGUAAACGAUGGAUACUCGCUGUUGGCGAUAUACUGUCAGCGGCUUAGCGAAAGCGUUAAGUAUCCCACCUGGGGAGUACGCCGGCAACGGUGAAACUCAAAGGAAUUGACGGGGGCCCGCACAAGCGGAGGAACAUGUGGUUUAAUUCGAUGAUACGCGAGGAACCUUACCCGGGCUUAAAUUGCAAAGGAAUAAUCUGGAAACAGAUUAGUCUUCGGACCUUUGUGAAGGUGCUGCAUGGUUGUCGU